CCUACGGGUGGCUGCAGUGGGGAAUAUUGCACAAUGGGGGAAACUCUGAUGCAGCGACGCCGCGUGAGUGAAGACGUCUUUCGGUAUUUAAAGCUCUAUUAGCAGGGAAGAAAAUGACGGUACCUGUUUAAGAAGCCACGGCUAACUACGUUCCAGCAGCCGCGGUAAGACGGAGGGGGCAAGCGUUAUCCGGAUUUACUGGGUGUAAAGGGAGCGUAGUCGGAAGGACAAGUCUGUAGUGAAAUGCCGGGGCUUAACCCCGGAAUUGCAUUGGAAACUGUGCAGCUAGAGUGCAGGAGAGGUAAGUGGAAUUCCUGGUGUAGCGGUGAAAUGCGUAGAUAUUAGGAGGAACACCGGUGGCGAAGGCGGCUUACUGGACUGCAACUGACGUUGAGGCACGAAAGCGUGGGGAGCAAACAGGAUUAGAUACCCUGGUAGUC
rnacentral:rRNA from 1 species